CGGACGGGUGAGUAAUGUCUGGGAAACUGCCUGAUGGAGGGGGAUAACUACUGGAAACGGUAGCUAAUACCGCAUAACGUCGCAAGACCAAAGAGGGGGACCUUCGGGUCUCUUGCCAUCGGAUGUGCCCAGAUGGGAUUAGCUAGUAGGUGGGGCAACGGCUCACCUAGGCGACGAUCCCUAGCUGGUCUGAGAGGAUGACCAGCCACACUGGAACUGAGACACGGUCCAGACUCCUACGGGAGGCAGCAUG
rnacentral:rRNA from 1 species